UACGUAGGGCGCAAGCGUUAUCCGGAAUUAUUGGGCGUAAAGAGCUCGUAGGCGGUGUGUCGCGUCGGCCGUGAAAGCCCCCGGCUCAACUGGGGAGGGUCACGCGAUACUGCUCGACUUGAAGGCAGGAGAGGGAAGUGGAAUUCCCGGUGUAGUGGUGAAAUGCGUAGAUAUCGGGAGGAACACCAGUGGCGAAGGCGACUUCCUGGCCUGUUCUUGACGCUGAGGCGCGAAAGCUAGGGUAGCAAACGGG
rnacentral:rRNA from 1 species